UAUAAUUAUAGAUUUAUAGAAAUUGAUUAGAAUAAAAUGCUCCGCUGGGCGCAGCUUGAUACGACCGCAGAGGUCGAACCCUGAACAGUUUGGGCAAGUAUGGACACAACAUUCAAGCUUGAUACAGCUCUGAAUUUGGAUUGUGAUUAAAUAUUUGACACAGCAUAGGUUUCUGACACAGAAAGAAUGUGGUCUAAGAACUUCAAUUUUUUUAAUUUACCUAUUAUGGUCCAAUGUCCAAAAUCAAAAUACAUGGUUAGAUUCAGCAUAUCAAAGAACCCCAUAUAUUCAAUUUUUGUUGAAAUCAAACAAAGUUUAAUUUUGGACCCCAACUUGGACAAACUUGAAAACUGGUCCCAUAAUCAAAAAUCUAAACACAUGUUUAGAUUCAGCAUAUCAAAGUACCCCAAGAAUUAAAUUUUUGUUAAAAUCAAACUAAGUUUAAUUUUGGACCCUUUUGACCUCAAUAUGAACCAAUUUGAUAGCGGGCCCACAAAAUAAAAAAUCUAAAUACAUGGUCAGAUUCAGCAUAUCAAAGAACCCCAUAUAUUCAAUUUUUGUUGAAAUCAAACAAAGUUUAAUUUUGGACCCCAAUUUGGACCAACCUGAAAACUGGGCCAAAAAUCUAAAAUCUAAAUACAUGUUUAGAUUCAGCAUAUCAAAGAACCCCAUAUAUUCAAUUUUUGUUGAAAUCAAACAAAGUUUAAUUUUGGACCCCAACUUGGACAAACUUGAAAACUGGUCCCAUAAUCAAAAAUCUAAACACAUGUGUAGAUUCAGCAUAUCAAAGAACCCCAAAAAUUCAAUUUUUGUUAAAAUCAAACUAAGUUUAAUUUUGGACCCUUUGGACCUUAAUGUAGACCAAUUUGAAAACGGAACCAAAAAUUAAGAAUCUAAAUACACGGUUAGAUUCGGCAUAUCAAAGAACCCCAAUAAUUCAAUUUUUGAUGAAAUCAAACAAAGUUUAAUUUUGGACCCUUUUGACCUCAAUGUGGACAAAGUUGACAACGGGGCCCAAAAAUCAAAAAUCGAAAUACAUGGUUAGAUUCAGUAUAUCAAAGAACCCCAUAUAUUCAAUUUUUGUUGAAAUCAAACAAAGUUUAAUUUUGGACCCCGAUUUGGACCAACUUGAAAACUGGGCCCAUAAUCAAAAAUCUAAAUACAUGUUUAGAUUCAGCAUAUCAAAGAACCCUCAGAAUUCAAUUUUUGUUAAAAUCAAACUAAGUUUAAUU